CUGGAGGAGCUCCACACUCACUGCCGGGAAGGACGCGAUCCAGGGUCCGAGGCAGGUCUCUGACUGCAAGACCACAGGCCCGCCCUCUACAGAACCGAGCUCACCGUAAGCGAGUGCCGAGCCGCCCGUCUCCACUUGGUCUCUCUCCCCGAGUCCCACACUCCCAAGCCCAGCCAUGACCUCCACAGUUUCCCUCGGAUGCCUGCCGGCUGUUUCGGACGUAACAGAAUGAAACAGACUUGGCAUUGUGCUCCCUCCCAUCCCUGAAGGAUUUGCUCGGCGAGAAGAUAAAAAAAAAAAAAAAGAAAGAAAGAAAAGGAAAAAAGAAAAGAAAAAAAAAAAUCAUCCUGCCGUAUUUUUAACUGAUUGCUGGCUUGUGCCUGUUUGGUGAGAUUUAUUCUCUCAUUAAUCACUGCCCUCCCUUCAUUCAUGUUAAAUAUAAAAUUGAUUAGGAAAGAUCCCCAUCAUGGUUAAAAAAAUAAUUAGCUGCUACAUCAUGUUGCCCACAGAGCGACAGAAAAGAGUGAUUAAAUUAGGAAUAUUAAAACCCCAUUAAUCUGCA